AGAGACAGACAGAAAGAGUGAGAGAGAGAGAGAGAGAGAGAGAGAGAGAGAGAGAGAGAUGCAUAGUAUAGCCUAGGCAAACAAGUCUUGAGUUCAUAUUCCUCUGUCUCUGAAAAACACCCAUGCCAAUUUUUAUAAUUCGAAGAUGAGGUUUAAAGUGUUUUCCAAUGUGUGACCUUUUUUUCAUUGUAAUAAUUAGAAUAAUGUUUUAAUAAUUUUAUCUGAUAUAAAUUGAAUUUAAUCAAAGGCAAUAUGCUUUUUUAUAACCUCAUUAUAAGCCAGGUGAUGUGGAUAAGUAUUAAAUUUUUCAUUGUAAUAUUCUUUAAGCAUCAGCUUAUAUUUUAGUAUAACUCGAUUUUUAUAUUUUUUUAGAAAAUCUUCUUGUUUGUCUCUUCUGCCACUUAAUGUCAUCUCUCACAUCUUAAUCACCCCCCCAAAACAAUUGUCUUCACAAGGAUAGGUCAUGUUCUGUCACAAAUUCAAAUAAUAAUUUUAUAGUGUUGUCUCUAACAGCUGAAGAUUCCAACUGGCUUUAUGCCUUUUAAGUAAUAUAGUUAUCAUUCCAAAUUCUGUUUUGUUUUCUCUUUUUUUGUUUUUUCAAGACAUGGUUUUUCUGUGGAGCCCUGACUGUCCUAGAUCUCACAGUGUAGACUAUGUAGGCCUUGAACUCACAAAGAUCUUUCUGCCUUCCAAUGCUGGGGUUAAACGUCUGUGCCACUACUAAGUUCCAUUGGAGACUGGAAACAUCAUUUGACUGUUGAACAGAGUGAAAGAUUGGACAAGAUAUUACACAGGAACAUGGAAAACAUCCCGUUGAAAUUCAACUGGGACACAAAUGAGGAGUAGAAUAUUAAUCACUAUGUGAACAAAUCAUAUUAAAAUGUACUAAACCAAGGUUGUACUUGAAUAUUAAAAUUAAUGUACUUGUCUCACUUAACUAUUAGUUAUAAAGCAUAAUUCACAGACAAAAUGAUGACCUUUGGUCUAGAUUUCCAUGAUAUUAAAUUCAAAUGGAGCUAGUAGCAUUGGUUUCUUUUUCCAAAAAUAUAUUGUAAUAGAAAGCAUAAAACAGAGCUUGUAGAUAUAUUUUUUUAGUAUUCUAUAGUUCAUGUGAUUUUUUGCCCUCAAUUAAUUUAUGAUCAAACAAUCAUUAAGAAUCUCUUUAUUCUGGUAAUUAAACUUUAAUUUAUUUUGCUCAACAUCAGUAAGCUUGAUACAAUGUCCUGUGUGAAAUAAAGGCAAAUUUUCUUUAUAAA